AACAGCUGAUUGUUUUUUAUUCUUUUCCACGCCCAAUUGAUUAGGAGAAAAGAACAAAAGUUGAAUAAGAAAAUGAGUUAAUUCUUUUUCUCUCUCCAUUGGAACGUGUUAAUUGUCAAUGUUUAUUUGGUUUUCACUUUUUUCACACGAGAAAAGGAUUAGCAGGGGCGGUGGUCACAUGGAUAAUCCAAACGACGUAAUUGAUUGAUUAACGUUGCAAGUAUAUUCAGUGGAAAAAGAGAUUGAAACAAAAGGGAAAUCAUGGUGAAAACAAACGAUGAAGUGAUUCAAGGAUAAAGUGAGAGAAGAGACUAAAUUGAAAUAGAAUCGAAUGAUUUUCAACAAGGAAACAGCAACAGGAGUAUCAAUCUCUCUUCUCUCUCUCAACUUGCCAUGAGAAGAGGUUGAAACAAUGAAGAAAUUCAAGUCUUAUGAGAUUUAACGGAUUCCUUAUUCUUAUAACAAUCACCUAGAUGAUCGUCAACAUUAUCACCAUGAUCAUUAUCAACAGAAUACGUUGUUUCUUUUAAUCUAACUUUCUAAUUCUCAUUCAAGUACUGUUAAUGUUACUAUUGAGUGUUAACUGAAUGAUGUUUACCAAAAGAGGAAAACAAAGAUUAAGUUUGAAUUAUCUCUAUGUUACCUUUCAUUAUCUUAAUCAUCAUCAUUUUUCUUGACUCACUUUUAUCACUCAGUUGAUUUAAUUUCAAACCUUGAUUCUUUUUCUUCAUCAUGGUUACAGGUUCAGUGUUCCGGUAACUUGACCAAUGAUAAUCGUCUAGAUGAAACUUACUGGUCAAUUCUGGUUCAUGGCGUGAGGCCUGACUUGCUUAUUUAUAGUCAUGGCUCCAAACUCAUCAUCAUCAUAAUCAUAAUCAUCAACAGCAGCAUGAUUAUUAUCAUUAUUUCACCUUGGCAUCUUUCCCCUCGUCUCUCUCUCUCUCUCUCUCUCUCUCUCUCAACCCUAACGUUUCCAUCUCAUCAUUUUUUUUCUUCUCCAUAUAUUCAAACCAUUUUCACGUUCACUAUCCCUAACUCAUCAUCUUCAUAAUCAUUUCAGUCAACUGAAUAGAUGAGUAUAUGGAUCAAUAAUGAUCAUCAAACCUUACAUGUAAUAACUGGUGAGUUACCUCUUCCUCUCUCAUCCUAUUGAGAUUGGAAUUCUUGGAAAACGAUAGAGGAAGAGAGAGAGAGAGAGUGAGAGGGAGUCAUCACUUGAUGAAAACUAAGAUUUUUUUCUUAUCACUUUCUAUCAUCACUUACCUUUGUUUCUUUCAUUUCCUUUUACCUAUCAUCAUCCUCAUCUUUUUUUUUCAAUCAACUUUCACUUUCCAACAUUUAAUUCAAACUUGUUUAAUCUUUCUCUCUCAUUCCCAUACACUCACAUGCAAAAGGAAUAAUAUUAAUUCUGGUUUCAAUUGUCUCUUUUUCCUUGUUUACUUGGAACCAUCAUGAUGAUGGAAAAGUUUCCACCACCACCACUACCUUCAUCAUCGUCACCAUUAAUCAUGAAUAUUUCAUCAUCAUAUUCAAAAUUUGAUUCAAUAUCAAGAAGUAAUGUUCAAGUAACCAGAGAGAUAGUUGUUGACUCAGAUGAUGGGAAAGGUAAACUUGAAGAGAGAGAAAGAGAGAGGUAAAGAAAAUUGAGAAUAAAAAAAAACACCAAGAAAAGGUUUCGAUAUAACAAUAAUUUUCCAUGUUUCCAAUCGGUUAAUUGUUGAUAAAUUACCAUUUGAUUAACUACAGUUGAUGGUUGAAUAUGAACUUGCAAAGUUUCAAUCCAAUGGAUGGAUACAUAUGAAGUUAAUCAAUCAAAAAGAAAUCAAAUUAUGAUCAACGAUCGGAAAUUUUGGAAAAUGACUAUCAUUAUAUUCAUAAUUUUUUGCUUAAUUGUUGAUAAUUUAAUUUCAGGAGAGUUAACUUGAAAUUGUUGAACUUUCCCUUAAUGAUGGUUAAUUGUACUCUCUCUCUCUCUCUCUCUCUCUCUCUCUCUCUCUCUCUCUCUCUCUCUCUCUUUCUAAUCAUGAUCAUUAUAAUAUGAUGAAAAUGAUUCAAAUUGUUAAGAGAGACAAUUAAUUCUUGGCAAAGAUAUUAGCAAUUACAUGGUGGUUUAUAUUACAAAGGAAACUUUUUUUCUCAACAAUUAACUAUGAAACGAAAACAAAGUUACUCAAUCAAAAUAAUCAUCAUUAUCUCAACAUAAUUAACAUUGAAAAAACAACAACAAUUAAUACAAAGGCUUUUCAAAUAGACAACAACAAAAAGUAAAUUUAAAUUGUUUUUUUCUCUUCCCUUACAGAUUUUAAUUGUCACCAUCAUCACCAUCACAAUUUAGAAUUGAUUAUAAUCAAUGGUUGAUAAAUCACCUCUUUACAUCCAUUGGAUAUAUUUUUAAUUGUUUCGAGGUUUAAUCAUCAUGAUGGUUGUUAAUUGUGUUAACCAAACAAUCAAAUAUUACCAUUUGGAUGAAGAGGUUUAUUCAACAAUCAAAAAUGACGGUGACCAUGAAAACAAAAUUGGAUCUGAAAUGGUCAAUGGUUGAUUAAUAUGAAUUAAUAAUGAUUAUCAAUUACUAUUAUUGACUGACCAUUGGACUAAAUGGAUUAUGUCUACUAAACCCUUAACUAUUUAACAUACAACCAAAGUGAAUGGUUGAUCAUUAUAAUCAUUAUCAAUAUAAUAUCUUGAUUAUUUCCACUGAACCAUUGGAAAUCUUGUUUUCCAUGAUAAUACUUUUGAUAUUAUCAUCAUUAAAUGUGAUCAAUCAUGUAAAAAGGAUUGAAUCAAAAUAUGAAUAUGUAACUAACUUAUCCUAGUUUUUUUUUGUGUUAUUACAGACAAACAAUCAAGAGUUUUUGGUCAUUAAUGGUCAUCAUCAGAGUGGACAGAAAAAAAGGACCAAUGGACAAUAGAUUUUGAUGUUUGAUUGAAAUCAAAGUGGAUGAUAUGGUGAACUUUUUUAUCAAAUUGAAUCGCAAAAGCUCAAAAAUGAUCCACCAUUAGGAACCAGAACCAGGAAAAUUUGACACCAUCUCUUUUUCAUUCACUUGUCCAUCUUUUUGGCUCAAUUUUUGGACAAUUUUUUUUCUCCAAAAGUGAUCAACCAAUAAAUUACUUGGAGAUAGAAAUUGGAUAAAAUUAUGGAUCCAAAUGAUGUCGAUAGUUUCAAUAUAAACCUAAAGGAAGUACAAAUUGUAAAGCCAAUGACGAAGAUGAUGAUAAUGAUGACGACGAUGAGAAGAUGAAGAGGAGAAAAACGGAAAUUCAAAAGACUCUUGAUGAUCUUUUCUUUCAAUCAAAAUGAGACGAAAGUAAAUCCAUAAAGAAGAGAAUCUCUUCCUCUGUCUUUUUCACCAUCUUCCUGUCUUCCUCUCUAUCUCUUUCUAUCUUUCUAUGUGUGUUAACCUUUAAUGGUUUACAAGUUUUCAUCACUUUGAUGGUCAUUUUGGUCAUCCAUUCACACUACUGAACAACAUUAACCAAGAAAAUACCGGAAUCAGAGUCUCAACACUCACGAUUCAAUAGUCAAACUCUGGUUUCAUCAUUAUUAUUACUUUUCUCCCUUACUGGUCAUCUAGAGAAAAGAAAAUAAAUAUCUCUACCUUACUUGAGUUGACCUUAACCUAAACCUAAAGGUCCAAGCAUGUAAAUAAGAAACACAGAUAAUAUAAAUCAUCAUAUUGGAUGGAAACAAUUUCCUGGAUUUACUUUUCACUCGAUCAAAAGCAAAAGGACAAUAAUAAAUAUAAAAAGAUUGGAAAAAAA